ACACACAAAGUAAGAAACACCAAGAGGAGUGUUUCACAUGACUUCAUAGACGUGCCAGGUAGUGUAACAAAUGAAAUGGGAGAUACCAGGGAGAGUGUUAUGAAGUAAGAGACACAUGAGGACUCUGACACACGAAGUCAGAGGUGACAGUUGGCAUGUGACACACGAAGUCAGAGACACAAUGUAGAGUCUUAUCCAUGAAGUCAGAAAUGCUAGGGGGUGUAUGACACACAAAUUUGGAGACAACAGGUGGAGUGUGACUCGUGAAAUCAGAGAUGCCAUGGAGAGUGUAACAUGAAUAUGGAGAUUGCAGGGUGAGUGUUACAAACUCAGAGUCCUCAAGGGAGAAUGUUACACAGGAAGUCAAUGACAACAGGGAACUGUUACACACCAAGUCAGAGAGGAAGGGGUAGUGUGACAAAGUCACAGACACCAAGGGGAUUGUGACACAGGAAGUCAAAGAGGCCAGUGGAAAGUGAAACAUGAAGUCUGAGAAGUGAUGUAGAUUGUUACACAUGAAGUCAGAGAUGACAGGAGUAGUGCUACACAGGAAGCCAGAGACACAAUCAGGAAAUUGACAUGAGAAGUCUGAGAUGCCAAGGGGAGUGUAACACACGAAGUCAGUAACACAAGGGGUAGUGUUACACAGGAUGUCAGAGACACCAGGGAGUGUGUUACACACAAAGUAAGAGAUGUCACAUGGUGUGCUACACACCAAGUCAGAGACCCAAGGUGCAGUGUGACACAUGAAGUCACAGACAAUAGGGGCAGUUUUAGAAAGAAAAUCAGAGAUGCCAUGGUGAGUGUGACACACGCACUCUGAGACAACAGGCAGAUCGUGACAUACAAAGGCAGUGAUAUAAUGUAGAGUGUUACACGUGAAUUCUGAGAGAACAGGGGAAGUGUGACACAAGAAGUCAGAGGCAUAAGGAGCACUGUGACACACAAAGUCAGUGACACCAUCUAGAGUGUGAACCACAAAGUCAGAGAGGCUAACCAGACUGUUAGACAUGAAUUCUGAGACGCCAGGGGAAGUGUUACAAAUGAUGUCAAAGACAUCAGGGAAAGUGUGAUGCACAAAGUCCAAGAAACCAUGGGGAAAGUAACACAUGAGAAAAGACAAUGUGGGGAGUGUGACACACCAAGUCAUAGAGGCCACAUGGAUUGUUACACAUGAAGUCACAGAGGCAAGUGCAAGGGUUACACACGAAGCCAGAGAGGCCACAUGGAGCAUUACACACAAACUCAAAGAUGAUAGCGGGAGUAUUACAAACGAUUUAGAGAACCCAGGGGGAGUGUGAUGCACAAAGUCACACAUACAAGUGAGUGAGUGUCACACGAAGUCAGAGUCAAGAGUGACACUGUUACACACUCAGCCUGAGGAAACAUAGGGAAAUUUUACACAUGAAGUAAAAAACACCAGGGGGUGUGUUACGCAGGAUGUCAGUGAUGCAACGGGGACUGUGACACACAAAAUCAAAGACAACAGGUGGAGUGGGACACACGAAGUCAGAGAUGCCACAGGGAAUAUUGCACACGGACUCAGAGAUGCCAGGGCAUGUGUGACAAACGAAGUCACCAAUUCAGAAAGAGUGUUACAAAUGAAGUCAAAGAAAUCAGAGAUAGAGUAACGAAUGAAGUCAGUCAUGACAGGGAGAGUGUGAUACAUGAAGGCAGUGUGACACAUGAAGACAGAGAUGCCAAGGGGACUGUUACAUAAGAAAUCUAAGAAGCCAGUGGGAGUGUGAGAAAAGAAGUCAGAAACAUCAGGCAUAGAAUUACACAAGAAGUCAGAGACAUGACGGAGUAUGAGACACACCAGGUGAGAGAUGCCACAGGGAGUGUGACACAAAGUCAGAGAUGCCAGGGGAAGAGUGACACACGAAGUCACGGGUGCAAUGGGUAGUGUUACACACAAAGAGAUGCUAGGGGUUGUGCAGUUAGAGAGUGCAAAGGAAUUGUGACACAAAGUCAGAGACAUCAAGGUGAGUUGCACACAUGAAGUUAAAGAUGGCACGUGGAGUGUUACACACAAAGUUCAUGAUGCCAAGUGGAGGGUAUUACGCAUGAAGUGACACAUGAAGCCAGAGAUGCCAUGGGGAACUGUUAGACAUGCAGGAAGAACUGCCAGGUGGAGCAUUACAAGAAUUCAGAGACACCAUGAGGAGUGUGACCAUGAAAUCAGAGACACCAGAGAGAGUGGUACACACAGAGUCAGAGACUCAGGGAGAGAGUGACACACAAAUUCACAGAUGCCAAGAGGGAGAGUCACACAUCUAAUCUGAGAGGACCAGAGGUUUGUGACACAUGAAGUGAGAGUUGACAGGUGGUGUGAAACACAAGAAGUCAGAGACACCAGGGGAAGUGUUACUCACACAGUGAGAGACACCACAUAUACUGUCACAUACGAAUUCAGAACACAAGGGGGACUGUGCCACAUGAAAUCCGUUGUGACAGUGGGAGUGUAACACACAAAAUAAGAGAUGAAAUUGUGUGUUACACGCAAAAUCAGAGAUGCCAGUGGGAGUCUGACAUACAAAAUCAGUGCUGCCAUGGUGAGUAUUACUCAAGAAGUCCAAGACACCAUGGGGUGGUGUUAGCCUCAAAGGUAGAAACACAACAUGGAGUGUUAUACAUGAAUUCAGAGAUGCAGAGGGGGAUUAUACAACACAAAGUAAGAGACACCACAUGGAGAGUUACACAAAUUGUCACAGACAACACUGGGAGUGUUACACACAACGUCAGACAUGCCACAUAGAGUGCUAGACAUGAAGUUUGAAACAGCAGGUGGAGUGUUACACACAGAGUUAGUGACACCAGAUAGAGUGUGAUAAACGAAGUCAGAGAAGACAAAGGUAUUGUAACGCAUGAAGUCAGAGACAUGAAGUGGAGUGUUACACAUGAAGUCACAGACACCAGGGGCUUAGUGACACACGAAUUCAGAGAUGACAUGGGGAGUGUGACACAAAUUUAGAUACGCCACGGGGGUGUUUUAUUCACAAAAAUAACAAAAGCAGGGGUAGCGUUUCACACUAAGUCAGAGAUAACAGAGGGAGUGUGAAAGAUGAAGUCACAGACGCCAGCAGGAGUGUGAUACACAAAGUCAGAGAUGCCAGUGAGAUUGUUACACAUGAAGUCAGAGAUUCUGGGGGGGUAAGAUACACAAUGUCUUAGACACCAGGAGGAGUGUGACACAAGAACAGAAAUGAUACAUGGAAAGCUACACACGAAGUCUGAGCCAACACUGGAAAAUGUUUCACUUGAAGGGAGAAAUGCCAUGUGGAGUGUUACACAUGUAGUCAGAGAUGACAGUGGGAGUGAUAUGCAUGGUCAGAGAUGACAUGGGAUGUGUGAAACAUGAAACCACAGAAACCAGGAGGAGUAUGACACAAGAAAACAGACUCACCAGGCAGAGCCUUACAUGUGAAAUCAGAGACAACAUGGGGAGUGUGAUACAAGAAGUCAGAGAUGCCAGACGGAUUGUGACAUAUGAAGUCAGAGACUCCAGGUGGAGUGUUACAGAUGCAGUUAGAUUUUCAAGGGGGAUUGUAACACACGACCUCAUAGAUACCAAUGGGAUUAUUACCCAUGAAGUCACAGAUGCCAGGAGAGUGACACACGAAGUGAUCAACAGCAGGGGGAGUGUGACACAAGAAAUCAGAGAUGCCAGUGGGAGUGUUAUACAAGUAGUCCAUGACACCAUGGGGGUGUGUUACACACGAAGACAGAAGGGCCAUAUGGAGUAUUAAACAUGAAGUCAGACACAGCAUGGGGCGUGUACCACACAAAUUUCGAGAUGCCAGGGGUAGUGUGACACGUGAAGUCAAAGACGGCAAGUGAAGUGUUACACAGGAAUUCUGAGAUACCAGGGAAGUGUGAUGCAUGAAAUUGGAGAUGCCAGGGGAGCAUGUCACAUGAAGUCAGAGAUACAAUGAAGAAUGCUAACACGAAGUCACAGACACCAGGGUAGUGUUACACACAAAUUCAGAGACACCAAUGGGAAUUGUUACACCCAAAGUCAAAGACAUCUUUGUUGUGACUGUUACAGAGGAAGUCUGAGAUGCCAGGGGGAUUGUGACACACAAAGUCAGAGAUGCCAGUGGGAGUGUUAUAGACGAUGUCAGAGAUGCCAGGUGUUCUUUGACACAUGAAGUGACAGAUGACAGGGGGAACGUGAUACACGAAUUCAGAGACACCACGUAGGAGAGUUACACAUGAAGUCAGAGAUGCAAAAUUGGGAAUUACACAUGAAGUCAGAGACAGCAGAGUGUGUGUUAAAUGAAAUCAGACACCCCAAGUGUAGUGUUACAUAAGGAAGGUAGAGACACUAUGGGAAGUGUUACAAAUGGAGCCAGAGACACCAGGAGGGUUGUUACACAUGAAGUCAGAGAUGCCAUGUGGAGUGUUUCACACGAUGUCAGAGAUGCCAUGUGGAGAGUUACACAUUAAGCCAGAGACACCAAGUUGAGUGUUACACACAGAGCCAGAGAUGCCAAGGGGAGUGUUACACAUGAAGUUAUUCUUGGCACAGGGAGUGUGGCACAAGAACUCAGAGACACGAUAGGGAGUGUGACAUGAAGUCAGAAAGGCCACAAGGUAUAUAACACACUAAGUCAAAGACACAAGGGGGAGUGUGAUACACGAAAUGAGCGACACCUGGAGUACUGUGACACACCAAGUCAGAGAUGGCAUGCGGAUUGUUAUUCAUGAAGUCAUGAUGAAACAUGGAGUGUGACACAUGAAGUUACACAUGCCAGAGGAAGUGUGACACACAAAGUCAGAGACACCAGAAGGAGUGACACACAAAGUCAGUGAUCCCAGACGGAUUGUGACACACGAAGUCAGAGAUGCCAGAUAAAGUGUUACUGAUGAAGUCAGAGAUGCCAAGGGAGUGUUACACAAACUCAGAGAAGACAGGUGGUUUGUUACACAAGUAGUUUGAUAUUCCUGGAGGAGUGUUACACACGAAGUCAGAGACACCGUGGAGCAUGUUUCAGAGGCCCGAGGGAGUUGUACUACACAUGAGGGGAGAAAUGUCGUGAGGUUUUUUAUACAGGAAUUCAGAGAUGCCUGGGGGAGUGUUAAACACCCAGUGAAAGAUUCCAGGUUUGUUACACAAGAAGUCAUAGACACCAGAGGGAGUCUUACAAAGGAACUCAGAGAUGCCAUGGUGAGUGUUACACAUGCAGUCCGAGAUGCUAGGCAUCAUUGACACAUGAAGGCAGAGACAUAACAUGGAGUGUUACACAUGAAUUCUGAGAUGCCAGUGAGAGUAUAACACAUGAAGUGAGAGACGCCAGGGGGAGUGUGAAACAUGAAGUCAGAGGCGCCAAGAGGAAUUUGGUGCCCCAAGUAAAAGACGCCAGGGAGUGUUUAACACACAAUAUCAGAGAUGACAUCAGGAGAGUUACACACAAAGUCAGAGACGCCAGGGGGAGUGUUAUGCAGGAACUCAGAGAGACUCCACAGAAUGUGACACACGAAGUCAGAGACAAUAGGUAGAGUGUGAAACUUAAAGUAUGAGACAGGUUAAGAAUGUUACACAUUAAGUCAGAGACACAAGCAGGAGAGUGACACACGAAGUCAGAUACAACAUGGGGAAUGUGACACAUGAAAUCAAAGACUCCAGGGGGAGUUUUAUACAUGAUGUCAGAGAUGAGAGGGGUAUUGUAUCACACAAUGACAGACAACAUCGGGUGUGUGAGACCCAAAGUCAGAUUUGAAAUUUGGGGUGUGACACAUGGAGUCAGUGAUGCCAUAGUGAGUGUGAGGCACAGAGUCAGAGACAACAGCUGGAGUGUUUCAGAAAAGUCACUGACUACAAGGGGAGUGUUACACAUGAAUCAGAGACACCAGCGCAAGUGUUCCACAGGAUGCCAGAGAUUCCACAGGGAAUGUGACACAUGAAAUCAAAGAUGACAUGUAUAGUGGGACUCAGACUCAGAGAUGCAUCAGGGAAAGAUACACAGGCAGUCAGAGAUGACAUAGGGGAGUGUGACACAUGAAGUAUGAGACAACAGGGAGCAUGUGAUGCACAAAGUCAAAGAUGCCAAUGGGUGGUGUUAAGCAAAAAGCCAAAGGAAACAGGGAGAGUGUCAAACAAAAAGUUGGAGGUGCCACGUGGAGUGUUAUACACAAACUCUGAGAAGCCAGUGGCAUUCUUACAUAUGAUGUUAUAGAUGACAGGGGAAUGUGACACAGAUACUCAGAGACACCAAGGGAGUGUGACACAUGGAGUCAGAGGCACCACAGGUUGUGUUACAUGCAAAGUCAGAGGCACCAGGGAGCGUGUGAUACACAAAGUCAGGGAUGCCAGGCAGAGUGUGACUCAUGACCUCAGAGAUGGCAUGUGGAUUGUUAUACACAAAGUCAAAGAUACCUGGGGAAUUGUGAUACAAAAAGUCACAGACUCAAGGGGGAGUGUAACACACAAAUUCAUAGAUGCCAGAGGGAUUGCGAUCCACGUAGACAGAGAUGCCAGGUGGACUGUUAUAAACAAAGUGAGAGAUGCCAGCGGGAGUGUAACACACACUCAGAAACAAAAGGGGGAUUAUUAUACAUGAAGUCUGAGAAAACAGGGGAGUGUGACACACGAAUUCAGAAAUGCCAGGGGCAGUGUGGCACAGGAAGUUAGAGACAUUAUGGAGUGUGUGAAAGAGGAAGUCAUAGAUGCCACAGAAUUGUACACACUAAGUCAGAGAAGAUAGGUGGAGUGUCGCACAUGAAGUCAGAGAAUAAAAGAGAAGUGUUACACAUGAUGACAUAUACAUCAGGAGGUGUGUUAAGCAUGAAGUCAAAGAUGCCAUGUGGAGUAUUACACACGAUGUAAGAGAAACCAGGUGGAGUGUCACACGAAGUCAGAGACGCCACACAAAGUGUGACACAAGUCAAAGAUACAAUUGGGAGUGUUACAUAUGAUGGUAAAGAGGGCAGGGAGAUUGUGACACAUGUAGUCAGAGAAACAAGGGGAAGUGUGACACAUGAAGUCACAGGUACCAGGAGGAGUGUGACAGACCAAGUCAGAGACACCAUAGGGAGUGUGACACACAAAGCCAGAGAUGCCAGGUGGAAUUUUACCCAUGACAUCAGACAUGCAAAGGAGAGUGUUACAUAAGAACUCAGAGGCAAAGAGGAAUUGUUACAACAAACCUAAGAAGUUAGGGUGUCUGAGACAGGAAGUUAGUGUAGGGGAGGAAGACAUUUCCUCUUCCCAAAUGGGGGUUCAUCUGGCCGGAGAAUGAAUUAAAUUCACAUGAGAAAGAAUAGCAAGAGAAAAUUAAACAAAGCUUUAUGAGGAACCAUGGCCCAGGGCCUUUCUUCCCAAAGGAAGAAAGGGCACCGAAGAACUGGGGUGCACAGAGUGGUUAGAUACCCCUAAAUGGGGUGUUUCACAUGUGAUUGAAAUGUCGCUCCCACAAUAGUCACAAGAUUGCCCUGUCAGCACAGUGCUUGAUGGACACAGCAGGUAGUGGUCUGCUAUCUCAGUGGGCGUAGCAGGAGGAAAGUCUAUCCUCUGGAGCUGGGCGGUCACAAGUGAGCGCAACAAUCAGUUCCUAGCCUAAGGAAAGAUGCUUAAUCCUUAAAGAAAUGCCAACGUUGGAGGGGGAGGGAAGUCAGUUACAGGAGGUUACCAGAGAAGCACAAUAAAAUGCAGAUUUAAGUCCUUGCCUUUGGUAUUGAUUAAGAGUUUCUAGAGAGAAGAUCAUCUCCUUUCAUCUUCCUGGUACAGAGAGUGGGGGCACCUUUUGCAGAUAGAGAUUUACCUUACAAAUGUAAAUGUGUCCUAACGAAGGGCAAAUUCCAUUCCUCAGAGCCUCCUUCCCUGUCCCAGUUUAUCAAAAUCAAUCAGCCUCAAAUAAUCCUGAUGCCAAAGAGACAUAUCUUGGGGUGGCCAAUUUCAGGUCCCCACAGUCCCGCCUUUGAAACUUUAAGUUUCACAAUCCAGAAGCUGAGUGGUAGAUUGUUUCAUCUCACUGAACACAUUUCUUAGUCCUGGUAAUAGAUCAGUCCAGUUAAAGUCAUUUUAGAGGGAGGCGAUGCAGGUGGGCUCCCAAAGGUAGUCCUAUAUUUUGGAAACAAGCAAUCAGGUAUUUAAUAAGUAUUUCUAUGGAAAUAAAAGAAAAACAAGGUUAAUGGUUGGAGCAAAUUAUAAACUAGUUCCUGAGUCCAGGAGACAGCCAGUUAAGACGACUUCUAGGUGUCAGAGUGAAGCAUCUUUAGCAGCUUGAAAUGUCUCUGAUGAUGUCAUCGGGCAAUCAGGUAUCUUUCUGAGUGGCUUACAGGAUACACAGCAACAGACAGGAAUCUCUGUUAAGUUUCUAUCAAGUUGUCCAGCUUUAGUUAGCAAGGCUUCAUGAAAAAGUGCAGGUUCAAUUCUCAAUGAUUCCAAAUGAAAAUGAGGAAAAGAUUAAAAACAUUAGUUUGGAGAUGUGUAACCAGGUAUUUCAGCAGAUGAAUUCAGGAUCCAGUCCAGUUCACAGGUAGAAAAAAAAAAAUCUCAAAGAAAAUUAACAGAACUAGGAUCUAACAUCCACAAAUAUGCCUUAUAGUUUUUCACUGAAACAUAGUUCUUCUCUCUAAAAUCACUCUCAUUUUUUUUUUUACCAAAGACAGCCAAAUUAAGACUAACUGGUUUGCAAAAUAAGUUUAGUUUCAAGAAACUUGGCCCAAUUAUUUACAUAAGUGCAGCAAGAAUAGCAAUUGAUCAUAUAGGCUCUUUAAUCUGCUUUGCUGGAAUUCUUUAUGAGGAAUCUCGGAUUGAACUGUAAAGGCCUCUCGAGGCCAGCAAAGCCAAGCUAAGGACUUGCCAUCAGAUUUUGCCUGCAGUACCUACAGAUUUGGGUGGAUUCCUCUCUUCUUGAGGUCCCCCAAAAUAUUCCAAGUUUCCUUAUAUCUGCCAGAUAAGCAAGCUUCCUUACUUACCAGGUAAGAUUGCUGGAAUCUCUGUAAACAAGGUACCAGUCCCAUAUUUCCAAGUGGCUUUAUUUCCAGAAAGUCAACCUUAUUCCUCAAAGGCAGUAUUGUCAUAUCUGAGCCUGUAUGUUUCAAAUAUGACAUUCCAGUCAAAGCUUUGGCAAGAUAACCAAUGUCCUGUUAUAAGGAGAACAGAUUCUUAUUGAACUUCUGCAAAUAACUAUAUUGCCAUGAAAUAACCAUACUCACAAAGAGUUUCCAAAUUCUGGAGGGAUCAGGUAGGGGGAAAAACAUAAAUGUUUCAGUUUUGCUCACAAAAGUAUAAUUUCACCAAA
ensembl:lncRNA